rnacentral:rRNA from 1 species
GACGAACGCUGGCGGCGUGCUUAACACAUGCAAGUCGAACGGAAAGGCCCUGCUUUUGUGGUGUGCUCGAGUGGCGAACUGGUGAGUAACACGUGAGUAACCUGCCCUUGACUUUUGGAUAACUUCAGGACACUGGGGCUAAUACCGGAUAGGAGCUCCUGCUGCAUGGUGGGGGUUGGAAAGUUUCUGCGGUUGGGGAUGGACUCGCGGCUUAUCAGCUUGUUGGUGGGGUAGUGGCUUACCAAGUCGGUGACGGGUAGCCGGCAUGAGAGGUUUAACGGCCAAAUUAGGAAGGAGAUACAGCAAAGACACCUACGGGAGGAAGAAGAAGGGAAUAUUGAGCAAUGGGCGGAAGCCUGAUGCAGCAAAGCCGAGUGAGGGAUGAAGGACUUCGAGUUGUAAACCGCUAUCGCCUGUGACGAAGCGUGAGUGACGGUAAUGGAUAAAGAAGCACCGGAGAACUACGUG